UCUUCUUAGAGCUCGACGCCUCAUCUCAUCCCUGGUGGCAUGCCUCAACUUGCAAACCUUCUCCUCUAGGAAUCCAUCCCCCUUCCCUUCUUUAUCAGACAGAGUGUCUAACAAGUUUUCAGCCCUAGCUCCAAUCUCAUUUUCUCCAGUGACUCCCUCCAAAGCAUGGAGCAGUGAUAAGAUGCCUCCCUCAUCAAUACACCUUUGAGUGGCCAAAUGUCCCAUUGAUAAUCCCCUCAGCAUAGACAAGAUAAGUGGGACUGAUGGCAGUUUUAAACCUGAUGCCCAUUCUGCACUAGAUUUAAAGCCAGCCUGCCCAGCAACUGCAAAACUAUCUGUCAGAUGUCUAACUGCAACACCAGUAAUUCCCUUCUCCAAGAUAAUGUCCUUCAAUCUUUCUCCACAAGAACUUGUCUUGAGUGACUCUGAAACCCUGACAAAAUUCUCCAAUGCAAACUUUUGUUUGGCUGCCUGCCGAGCAAUGUCCUCAUCCUUUGGGUUGUCCUGUUGCUGUUUCUGCAGCCUGUCAAAUUCACCCCAGUCUUGUAAGUAGGGCUCAAAAUGGUGGAUGAGUGCUUCCAUUGCCGCAGGUUCACCGUAUGUCAAGUAAGGCAAAAUUCUUGCAACCAUCUCAGUGUUCCUCUGCUGUUUGUUUGACUUUUUAAGGCCUGAAGAAUGGCACAAUCUUUCCAGGAACAUGAGGACUAUUUUCUUCGCCUGGUCACCAGCACCAGCCACUUCGCUACUAACAGUAAGAGCAUUCUGUGUAAUGCUAAUAUUAUCACUUUCAUUUGCUUCCAAUGUCAGGCUCUCCACAAUCAAAAGAAUCCCUUCAGCCGGCUCCAUGGCAUCCACAGAGAAGGCACACCUUGCCGUUUCAAGUAGUACACCUAAAGCUCCUAGUCUUAACAAGGCACGUCGAUUCUCUCUUAUCUUGCAGCAGUGCAUGAGGAGAUUAAGCACUGCAACUAACUGCUCUUGAUUGGACUUCAAAUCAUCUCGCAAGCGCUGUAUAAGAAAAAUCAAGUCAGAUCAAAUGGAAAAUUCAUUAAAAUGUAACAAGAACACCAGACUAACUACAGCUGGUUAGGGGGGGAACCAUCAAAUAAAUGGCAAGGGGUUGCCUCAAAGGUAAAGAAAGGCAUGCCAGGACAGACUACAGAACCUAAAAAUAUUCAUAAUAUUCAUCUUUAUUAUAGUGUAAGCACAUGCUAAAAAAUAUCUUCUAGAUCUGCACUUAAAUUCCCACUUUAAGUAAUAUUUGAAAUAUCAGCAAGAUUACCUGACUUCUAACCAGUUGAACACUGAAAUCUAUCACCAAUAUUUCCACUGAUGCAUCAAAUGUUUUCCUUUUUUACUCAGGGAAGUGAAAUAAAAUGUAAAGCCAAUUCUGAUGCUUUUCCAUAGAAACACUUAAAAUUCAUGUAUAGAACUGAAACCUGAAAAUGGGAAAUUUCAAUGCUGAAGUUGGGCAAUUUGUUUCAAUUGAUAUAAAAGUUCGACACAUGGAGGAUCAUAAAAUCAUUCUGCCAAUCACUUUUUAAAUUAUAAUAUAGAUACUUCUAAAAUUGUUGAGAGCUUUGUUUUAGGUUCCUAAAUAAUUUCCUGCACAACCAAACUUCUUCCAACAUUUUUUUCCAUUUUUGUUGCUUUCCUGGAAAAUUCCUAUUUUAUGACUGAACAAAAAUUUUCCCUAUUUCAACUCUGAGAGGGAAAGAAACUUGAAGAUAUACUGUACUUAACUAUUCAGAUUCCAAAGGACCUCUAGAAAGUAAAGAAGAAUCCACACACCUGGAUCAUGCCCAAAAUAAUCUCAAGUCCGCCAUACUCCUGGACUGCACCUGCUAUUGCAAACUCAACCUCAGGGUCUUGUGAUUCCUCCCUAUCUUCUUCCAAUUCUUUAAUCAUGGGCUCUGUAGCUUCACCAUCUAAUCCCUGCCAAUUGUAAAGAAUAACACAUCCUUUUAUAAAAAGAAGAGAACACAUCCAAAAUUUUCAAAUCAAAGCAUUGAAAUUAGGAUCUCAACAAACCUGAUAAGGCACCAAAAUGGCAUACAAAACUUAGAAACCUAUUAACAUAGGAAAAUGCUACACUUUCCACCAUUUUUUUUACCACUUUUUGAUCUCAUGCAAAAAUAACAAGUGACAUUGUGACAAUGGGAUGUCAAAAAAAAAAUUAAAAAAAAAAAAAUUUGCUCAUUCCACCUUUUCCCACAUCCAAUGAUCGCACACCACAUCAGUCGGUGGUAAGGAAAGGAUGGAAAGAGUAGCAUAGCCAAUACAAAAAAUAUUUAGGGGGAAAGAGUGAACAGUGGAAGAUAGUGUUCACCAUACUUGUAUUUUUUUCUUUAGUAUUCUCUCAAUAUCAAAAAAACAGUAUUCAUGAAACAACAAAAAUGAUGAGCUCGAAACUAGCAAAUGAUUAUAAGAAUAAAGGUUAAAAGAAUCCUAUGGAAAUAAAUAAAUGGUCCACAAAGUUCCUGGUCAUUUAGGACGAGAUUCCUCUGUCAAUGACCAAAAUGGAAAUAUUUUGGUAGUUACUAAAACUAUUGUAUACAAACCUGAAGCCGGUAAGUCACUGUCAUAGGCGGACAAUCUCUGGCUGAUGUGGUUGCAUUAGAAGAAAGCAAGGUAGCACCAGAUAUGGUGUUUGAAGAUUGACUAUUUGACUUCUUCCAUACUUGCUCAUAAACUUGAGCAAUGCUCAAAUCCAAGGAGAUGAUAUUCCCAGCUACAAGCAACUCCAUGCCAUAGUCAUCUUCAAGUAGACCUAAUAGAUCCAACUGAUGGCAGAUUUUGUUCUUGACAUCACGCAUCAGGGGACCAAUCUCAGCGCUGGAGUAAGGAUUCUUAGUCAUUGAUCCCCUAAUAAAUUCUUCUUGUGUGUGCGCCUUGUUAAGGACUAAGAGAUAUACAGAUUCAGGUUUUGAUGGGCAGAUCAAAUUGCAGAGUUGCUCCAAGAUGAACUGCAUAAAAGUUGAAAUUAACUUGAGACUGGGCAGUCGGACUACAGUUUUACAAUAGGAAGCCAUGGUUAAAGAAUAAAGAAUUUAUUCUGAUUCUCAACCAUAAUGCUUGUAGUUUAGUUUGUGACAUAAGGAAGAACCAAACCAUGCAUUAAACUCACGCCAUAUUGACAAAUGUUGACCCUGCUCUGUGUUUGUGUGUGUGUGCGCGCAUUCUAAUCAGAAAAAGCUUGCUUCAGAAAUCAUAAGCCAACACAGAUGGGCAUAAAAUUUGACAAAAAAUAGAUUUCAAGGGAAAAAUCAAUAUUUUAGAACUUGAUAGGUAUGAAAUUUUGAUAAUAAUUUAAAAUAUCAUAAAAAAAUAACUACAAUAGAAGGCAAAUGGAGCAUUGGAUAGAUCAUCCAUACCAAAGAAGUUCGUCCUUUUCUCUCUUCUCCAUGAAUUUGCAGACCACAGAUACAGGCACGGAUAAACUGGCGUUUAUUCUCACUGCUCUCGAGUAAAAGGCCAUCCAAAAGAUCUUUUAGAAGCCGAUUGCAAUCACUUAUUAACUUCGUCUUCUGCACUAUCAGACCUCUAAUGACAAUAAGGGCCUCAAGGAUUUCAGACAGCAAGUUGUCCCGCAUGAAUCUAGCACCAAGACAAAUUAAAAAAGAAAGAAAAGAUAUUAAGAUAAAGAAGAGGGGAUCAGUUAACUGUGAAACAAAAGAGCAAUGGGGCACUUCUACCUUGAUCUGAUAUUGGGAACCUCUAAAAAUUUGCCAAGGAGCUCUAUAAGCUUGUGAAGGAUGAAACCCUGUGAAAUGUCAAUGUGCAGGCUCCUCUCUAAAGACUCAAUAUUACCCACUUCUUGGGAAAUUAAUUUACAUAUUUUAGUUAGACAUCCCCGUACAGUCAAGAACAGACGUGCAUCUUCUGAAUCUAUCAUCUUGAAGAGCAAUUCAAAAUAUUCGGCAGCACUUUCACCAGCAGAGAGAGUUGCUGGUAACAAAGCCAUGAGUAAGUUUAAUAACCGAAAUCUCCUUGCUGGACUUUGGGCACAAAGCAAACUAAUCAGCAUGCACAUCUCCGACCUUAUAGAUUGAGAACAAGCACUCAGUACUAGUUCUGUAACCCAUGACCCUAGCUCAAAUGCUGACAAUUCACCCUUAGAUGUCUUACAAGCAUUGCGCUUCCAUCUGAGGGCAUAUUUGAGAGCCAGGUAAUCAUAUCUUUGAGGUCGGGGCCUCUGGCCAGAGCUUUUAACUGCCUGAGAAACUUUGUACUGCCUCCUGACAAAAUCAAGAUAUGAUGCUCCUUUUUCCCACUCUGAGUAGCUCAAUAAUUGAAUAUCCUGAGUCUUCUGAGAACCAUCCCAAUUUUUUUCUGAUAAUUCUGCAACUGACUUACUCCCACCACCAUGGCCACUCACAGAUCCAGAUGAAUUUGAAUUGUUUUCAUCCUUACUCUGCAAAAGUGGAGUUGAUUUUCCCAACCCCUGCUCUUUGUCUACCGUAUCAGGUUUUGGAGGGGUACAUGCCUGAGAUAUUAUCCUUAGACAAGGAAGAAUAACAUGCUCAGCAAUGGCAGGAUGUUUGGCACCCAAUUUAAUUGAAGAAAAUAACAACUGAAAGACAACACGUAAUCUUGACUCCCAGAAUUCAUCUGCCAAAGAACACACCUCUGAAAGCAAUAACAACUCUUCACGACUAGCAAGGGCAAUGUCCAUGGAGCGAUGAUGUUCAAGGCAGUACAUGACUUUCUUCUGUAUUAAGCUGUUCAACUCAGAAACAGCAUUUGCAUCACCUUCAGAGAAAGCACAAAGUACUGCCCUGGCUUGAAUGCGAGCUGUUUUUGGACCUUGAUGAAUAUUGUUUUCAAACAACUCCGAUAAAAUGCUAGCAGCAACAAGUUGUUUCUUAGAAUUUGGGUGCUUGGACAGCACCUGCAAUAUCUCAAGACACUGUGCUACAAAUGUUGUUGCACAGCCAUAGCAACUAUUUGGUGACCUGGAAACCACAAACCUUGAUGAGGCCACUGCAUUAUCAGAGUGUUUCUGGUGCAAAUAAUUCAUCAAAACCCGACGAAGCCCUUGCAAGGUCUGAACACUUUUGCUGACAGAAUCAAAGGCAGCUUUGCACUUCUCACCAUAUAGGACACCAAGAAGAGCAAUUUUCCGAUUUAUCUUACAUGAAGGUCCAGGCAAAGAGACCAUCAUUUGCUGUACAGAGUCCUUCUGUUGUGAGUCCAUUUCAUUCUCACCAAUGCUUGAUACAAUCUUAAGCAAGGGCUUUUUGAAUCCCAAAAGCUGCUGAUACCUCCUAUGGGCAUUUUCAGAUUCAGCUUCUAUAGCUGUCAAUCCCCUCUUCAUAUCAUCAUCAUUCUCCAUGCUAUCAAAUGUAAAACUUGGCUUUGCCAUGAAGUUGAAUUCAAAACGGCCAUAUUUGCUAUAUCCACACUCAUUGCAUAGAAAAGAAUCCAAGUUCUCAUAAUUAAUAUUGCGGCAUUGCCUACACUGAUAAGCAUUCUCAUGGCAAUUGCUGCAAAUUCCAUGCUUAUCAGUGACAGGUCGACUGCAACGUGGGCACUGCAAUGGUUCAAGUGACAACGCCUGAAGAUUUUCAUAGAAUGAAUCCAGCUCAAUCAUGAAGUUACAUGCAGUGAUUGGAAUGGGGAAAUCCACUUUCAGCUCAGUCUGAUUGAAGGCAAGAUGACAACUCUUUGCACGCUUCCACAAGGCCCAAUUGUUUUUCAACUCCGACAGGUCAGCCACAGGCCUAUUGUUAUAGUACAGGUUCAAAACUUUCACAGAUUUUGAUUUACGGGCAUCAUGAACAUUCAUGGUCACAGUUUGGAUAGUGUAGCUCCCAGUGCAUUUCACUAUUAUGCGGUUGUCGGUGAACUUUGUUUCAGAUUUAAGACUUUCUAGCUUCAUUCUGCUGUAGGGUACCUCAGGAGAGCUGCAAGCAACACAAGGUUCACUCUCAAGAUAGUAACCAUCAAAUUCCACCAGACCACUUAAAGUGUUGUAGAUGCGGGAAUUAGGAUGAUUAGCUAAAAGCUCAUUUUGUGAGUGAAGUGUCUCAAAUAUGCACCUAACUACAUCAGUAGUCAAGCAUCGGUCAACAAGUUCAGUGCUCUGUGGCUUUGAACUAGUAUCAGGAACUUUCCCCAGCAACCAGGUUACAAGCUCGGUAUAUUCAACAAUAUUCUGGCCAUACAUCGGCAGACAUUCCACUUUUUGCAAGAGAGCUACUAACAUGGUUUCCUUGAAUGACUGCUUUCCAUGAUGCCAAACACCAUAAAGAACACAUUUGGCUUCAAUCCUCACAGAGCUUGAAUUCCACUCCAGUAAAAAGGAAUUGAUGAAUUGCCUGAGGACAUCACCACCCUUCUCAGUAAAGAUAUCCACCGCUGGCUCCAUAUCCAAAUAGGACUUCUCUGAAGCAGAUUCAGAUCCAUCUUCACCCUUUUUCUUUUUCUUUGAAUCCAGAGAGACUGUGCCUGAUUUGUUUGAACUUGUUCCUGCAUCUCCUGCUUCAGCUUUUGGUAGAGAGUGGCUGAUGUCUUUUCCUGUAUAGAAGGCCAAACUUAAGAGCUUAAGUGUCUGAACCACAGACUCUUCCCCAAAAUAGAAUAUCCCAUUCAUCAGAUAUGGCAAAACAUCUCCAUUCCUCAAACAAUACUUCUGCCAGUUCCGAGGCCGGGCAGCAGCUACUUCAGCCAUUGUAGACAGGCACUUCACUAUCUUGACACUUCUCUCAUAUGGAACAGGAUUCUGAAAACCACCAGAUUUAUUUACAUGUUUGUAAAGUUUCUUGGCUUCACUGGAGAAUUGCCAAGAGUCUCGAACACUGUAAUAAUGAGUCUUGCUUCCACAUAGAUGUAGAAAAAGCCUCCUAGCAUACCUUCUUACAAAUGUGGUAUGAGAAUUGUUGAUGUAACUGCAGAGAACAUCCUGGUAACCAUCUAGCUUCAGAUCCUUACCAGAGGACAUCUUGUAAACCUUCUCUUUCUCUCCAGUCUUGUCUUGUUUUUCUGGUCGAACCAAACCAUAUACCAGCCGGAAAGCAUUCUCUAACAGUAGUCUAUGGUAGUCCAUGAAAAUAUCCAUGCGAUGGGCCUUUGCAUAUGAAUCUGAAAAGAAUGGAGAGAAAUUGCCAGCUGGUAGCUCUCUUCGAACUGUUAGUAGAGCCCCACACCCCAAGCCAGGGUUUGCACCAUGUGCAGCUUCAAAAUUAACAUUAGGGGACUUAAAAACAUGCACCAGCUGCUGUAGAAUAUCCAUUAGAUAAUUAACAAAUGCUUGCUGCCUAAGAGAACUGCAAGCUUGAAGCAGUUGAGAUGCAGAAUCAUGUUUCUCUUGAUCAUCCAAUGAAGAUGGAGCCACAAUUGAAGUGGAGGGUGGAAUCUGAAUAUUGCUUUUAUCCUGCAUAUCUGAACCUCCACUUGACUUUGGAAUAGAACCAUCACUGCCUGGCUGGUGCCAGUUUCGUAGCAUCAAGGUGAAGAACAUGAAGACAAGGAUUGCAACUUCCCCAAAAGGAGAACGAGUUUUGGCUACAAAAGGUUUACUGAGAUUAAUCUCAUCCAAAAACCAUUUGAUUAAUUUCUCCAGAUCUAAGCUUUCAGGUCUUGAGCUGUCUAUAAAAGGUCCACCUACAGCAGAUGAUAAUCUGUAGAAGAGCUGCAUAACAGGUAUAGCCUGAAGCCCAGAGGUUGUCUUCAUCCAUCCUUUCAGCUGUUCAAGAAGCUCAGAGAGAAGCAAUGAAUUUACAGCCCUUUUUGAUGCCGAAAUUGAGACAGGAUCAAUCACCGAAGCAGAAAAUUCUCCAGAUUCAUUGGGUUCCAACACAUGGAUUGCUGGAGUAGAAUUCUGCACAGUAACAUCAGUUGUCACCGGCAACAAGCUUGAUUCGCUUAAGUCAUCAGUGGAGAAGUGAAUUUCACUGCCAUCUCCUCCUAAUGUUUCCACUUCAAUUGGAAUUGCUGACAUAAGAUGAUCUCUAGAAUGCGGUGGAGGAAGUCGGUCUGCGUCUAGUUCAUAACAUGCCUCACAUAAAUCAAAAUCAGGGCAAACGUUACAAUGCCAUCUCCGUCUAAGUAUAGGAACAGUGGAGCAACCAUCACAACAGUACUGAACAGAUGAAGUAAUGGAGUCUUCCUCAAUCAUGACCUGGGUAUUUCCACCAGCUGCAUCAGCAGUCACUGAUGUAGAUACUGUGCUCUCUACCACAUCAUCUGUAGGUAACAUAGUUUGCUUUGGAAAUGGAACCUGGAGCAGUCUUGAAGAUAUAGCCAAGCUGGGGAAAAAAAGGGGGAGUAAAGACCACCAAAAAAAAAAAAAGAAAAGAAAAGAAAGAGAGAGAGAGAGAGAGAGUAAAAGAAAGAAAAGCUUACUUUAUAGUACAAAAAAAAAAGGAAAAUAACUACCUGCUGGAUGUUUGAACGGCCUCAUUGGGGGAAAACAGAAGUUUCUUGAAUAAUACAACAGCUGGUGCAACAGAUCGUCCUCCUGUAUCUCUUCCAUGUAAAGCCAGACAUUCAGCAUAGCAAUAAAUAAGUUCUACAGAGGAUACUACAAUGUUGUUCAUAGUCUGCGUGUCGGGCUGCUCUAUGUCCAAAAUUCCCCAUAAAACUUGCAUGAGCCCAUCCACCACUUCAGAACCUACAUCAGGUUGUAAGAGAAUAAACAGUGGCACACACAUAAAGUAGAAACAGAAUAUAAAUAAAUAUUUGUUUUCCAUCAAAAGCAGAAUGAAGUGCCAAUUAACCAUCUUUGUGAAACAAAUAUAAUAUCUGCAACCAAUACAUGCAGCGUUACUCAAGAGCUUUCUAAUAUCAAUGAGAGGAUGGACAAAUAUUAUUAUCAUUAUUUCAGAUAAGGAUGCAAUAAACUUCAGAAAAGUAAGAUGAAAUCACUACCAAAAAUUUGAUUUGAAGCAUAAACAGCAAGCAAUAACUUAAAAAUAAACCACCAACUAUGUUACCUGGGCUAGCACAUAUCCGAAGGUGUGCAUCAAGCGUCACAUCCUUCUAACCUCCAAACUUAGAAUGACAAAUCAAAGUUUGUUGAAAUGACGAACCUCUCAACAAUUAUAAUAGUUUAAAAUGGAAUGUCCAUGUAAAAUAGCAUGUUUGAUAUCGGUUACUAAUUUGGAAAUCUUCAUCUAACACAACAAUUUUAGAAAAUUAUCCGAUCAAAGUCCUACUUUGUUACAAACAUAUUCCUCUCUUUUGUUCAAUAUGUCUGUUGGCAACAAAGAUACAAAAAAAGGGUGUUUAAGAAUGUUAAUGACCAUGCAAACAUAUAAGAAUGCUAUUAUGCAAAAAAUGAAUUAUGCAUUAUAUGGUCAUCUAACAGUGAAGUGUAAAGAGAAAAUACUGUGAGAGAAAAUAAAGAUACAAAAAAGACAUUGCCAAUCCAGUGAGCUCAGGCUGCUUGUGAACAGUGUUUCAAAAGAAGUUCGAAGCAUACAAUUUAAGGCUACCACUAAUUGUUUAGCCUUGAGACUCAACUUAAGCUUCACCUUGUAGGUGUAUAGACUUGAAGGUUAAGCCUCAAGGCUGUUAAGGCAUAAGCCUCCAAUAUGCAGCCUUUUAGUGGGUUUUAAACUUUUGAUAUGUGGGUCUUCGGCUUUAGGUCUUGACUUCAUGGAAGUGCAGCCCAAAGGACAAAAGAAACAGGGAAAUAAGAGAAAGAAGAGUGCAAAACCGAAAGCUAGGGCGGAAGGUUAGUUCCAAAGGAAACAAGGAAAUAAGAGAAAGAAGAGUACAUAACUGAAAGUUAAGAUGGGUGGACAUCAACAUUGAUGAGAAGAAUGACAGACCAGUUAGAUAUUGCAAUGACAACAACUUAUCUUUUUACUAUGAAUUUUAUGGUUUUCUUAUUUAUAUUUACCUAAGAUAUAAGCAUUUUUCCCGAUCUUUUGAAUUUUUCAUUUUUUAUUUUGGGCUGGGGUUUAAGAUGCAGCUCACACCUUGCCUCCUUGGGGGAAAAAUACCUCAAGGCCAGCUUUGGCCUUUUAAAACAUUGGUUCUUACCAUGUAUUUCUUGCAGUUCAAUCAAGAAUUGCUAUAUUUCUUUAGCUUCACUCGCAGAAACUUCUGGGCAAUGAACUAUUUUUAAAAGUUCAAAAAUAUCAAAACCAUUAUAUUACACAAAAUGCUUCCAUUUCCACACAAAUUUAGCUAGUAGUUUACUAUAUUCAUAAUGAGAGAACUUCCAGAUGGAAUAUAUAUCUGCAUCUGGAAUACAAACUACAAUCAGUGACAUGAUUAAUAGAGGAAGCAAGUAAGGUAUAUCAGAGAAUGCAACAAUACCAUUUAUCUCCAGAAAAGUAGCCAAGUUUGAUCGACGAUGCAAUGCAAUUUUAGAGACUGCACGCAUCUGGGCUGUAAACUCUUCAAUAAUCCACCCAGCUGUAGUACCGCCAACACCCAACCUUGAAGAGAGAACAGAGGUAGAUUUCACCACCCCAAGAAGGCGCAUUGUGUCCUUAACCUAAGUGAGGAAAUUGCAAUCAGUGCCUGAAAAAUAUUCCUAAUGCAAACCCCCCACCCCACAUGACAUUCACACAUAUAUGUGUGUGUGUGUGUGAGAGAGAGAGAGAGAGAGAGAAAGAGAGUGAGAAAGAAUGUGUGUUUCUAAUAUAUCAUAGGCAUUAGGCAGUUACUUGGUAAUAUAUUUCCCUUCUAGGAAACACAGCCUGCAGCACACAGCAAGCAGCAGCCUGCAACAAGGGCUCCCUGUCACUCUCAAAUAUAGUUUCUAAUAACAGCUUGCACUUAAGUUUGUUCAGCUCAGAUUUCACUUCCUCAACUUUUGAGCAUCCUUGUGGCCUACACACAGAAUAUAACCUAGACAGAAGCUUGAGGCCAUCCGCUACCACCUGCUCCUGAAUAGGAGCAGACUGCAUUGAACGGCACUUUUUCCCAGAUCCUGCAACCCAGGAGUUACAACCAAGAACACGAGCUUCUCUAUCCAAAAUUGCAUCCAUUUUUUCUUUCCAUCCAAAUUCAUCCUUAGCUCGGCCGUAAACUUCCAGUGAAUCUAUUCUAGGUAGUGCAGAGCCAUUGAAGGUUGACCCAACAGAUACUGUAAAUUCUUCAUCAGCAAGAAGUGAUUCAGCAACUGUAAAUGGAAUAUCAUACCAAGAGCGCAUGCCAUCAUCUAAUUUAAUCACUCUCUGGAAUAUGGUAAUAUCAGAAGGUAUAUGGCUUGCAGAUGUAUUACCCACAUGCACACGAAAACCCACCAUGACAAUAUCAGGAUUUGAAUUGGCAACAGUUAUCUGAGAAAAGCAAAGAAAAGGGCAAAGUUAUAAAUAAUAAAUGAGAACAUUGAAAUUCAAUAUAAUUGCAGCUAUACCAAUCACCAACACCAAACCAUCUAAAAGUUGUUGCAAGCCAAGUGUAAGAAGUCAAGCAGAAACAUAAAGUACAGAAGAAAAAAAAACCUGCAAAAUGGAGAAUUCUGAUAGUAAAUAAGGGAAAAGAUUAGCUAAUUCCAGGCAUCCAUAUACAAGGAGAUAUGGAAAGGCCACCUCAAACUAAUUAGUAAAAUCAUAUGUUCUGGCAGUGCACUCUUCCUCCUCAACUUAGGAUGUCAAUCAUGCCAACUAUUAUUGAGAGAUAUGCAAUCAAGUGUCAUCAGCAUCUUAACCACCAACAUGCAAUAACCAGGGAGACACUUUUGAUGCUGUCCAAAAUCACCAUGGAUGCCCCAUCAUCCCAUUCGGUAAUCACCAAUGGAUACCACCAUGGAAUUACAGUUUGACAAGUUAUGAAGGUUACUAUGACAAUGUGUGUAAACCAUCAUGAUGGCCCUUACUAAAACAAGAAACCAACCACCAGAAAGAAGCAUCUCCACCAAUAAUACAAGCAAGUAGCUACAAUCAGCACACCAACACCAGCUCCACAACCAUAGUGGCACAGGAUUACCAAUUCCCCAACCUAAACAAUUCUCAUAUAGGAAGCAAGGGAAGAAGCACAAGUAGCACCCUUUGGUAAGAACAUGAGAGAGUAUAAUUAAUGGUAAAAGGAUUUUAUGUAAUUUAUUGGUGAGAAGCCCUUGAGAAUUUAAUAUGACAUGCAAGGUGAUGGCCAAAAUGGUAUUGCACACCAUGUAAAAGGAAACUGGUUCUGUAAGGCUUUGGAAGUCAGAAUUGCCUGAUUUCCACAUAUGGACUAUUUCUUGAAAGCAAUGGGGGUGCAUCUCAGAAUUUGUGCCUCAUCAAUAGGAAUCAAGGAAGAGCUUGUGGACGACUGAAGUGGCUAGCCCCACAGUAAUCUUGUUCCUCAAAUAAAUACCAAUAUACAACUGGCUAAUUGGGAAAAGCAAUUGAACAAAAGUUAUUGAUGACAUAGGAGAAAGCAUGAAACUAAAAAUGUCAAUCCUGUCAUAGAUGAAUUUAACACAAGCAUGUGAGAAAAAUCAAAGACAGAGAGAGGGAGAGCGACUUUGUAGAGGAGUCAACUAAAAACACAUUAGAAAUCAAGCACAUCCAAGCCUGCUGAAAGCUAUUGAUUAAAAAGGGAAAUUAGCAUAAGAUGCUACAAAAGUAUCUUGAACCAAAAGCAACAAUACCUUAAAUCCUGCAGGGCUGGGGCUUUCUAGAAAUCCAUCCUCGGAUACCAAGCUAUGCUUAGCUCCUUCUGAAUCGCCAUUUCUGACAGCAUCACCACCCAACUUCACAUCUGCAGUUAUGCAGACUGUUUUCUCAAAAAAAUCAAGUGGGAAUUCUGGGUUUGUACCAGCAUAAGCUUUAUUGUUGAGGAUAUCUGAACCCAAUCUUUUAACUUUAUCCAAGGUCACACUUGCACCUGCAUCGACUCCCAUGGGAACAUGCGAGUAUAUCUGAAGGCUGCCAUCAUCAUGCAAAACAAGACAAUGAAUUUUAUCUUUGGACAAAGGCUUGUAAGCAGUUAUCCCUACCAGUGGUGAGGUCGAACCCACUGCAUGCCGCAUGUUCUGUGCAAACAACUCAUUAGAACCCAUUGAUAUGGCAAGUGCAACAUUCGGUUUCACACUUGAGAAGCAAACGAAUAACCCACUCCCAACCAGCAACUCCUUCCAACGAUGCAGUCCAGCUGGUCGCAGUUUACCAUCUUGCUCAUCCUCAUAUACAGCAGAUAUCUCAGUUAGAGAUGUUGCAUUUGGAUUUAGCCGACCUAUAAAGGUAGUUCCAUCUUGGUAGGAUAUGAAAAGCAAUUUAUAUGUCGAGGAGAAGUACACGGAUGAGCCUUUUGCCUGAAUGUUCCUAUCCUGAAUAUGAAUAAUUUCCUUCAAUGGUUUGGCCCCAACAUUACCCUCCAAUGACAAUUCCAGCCUAUAUAAGCUUCCAAGUUCAGAAAGAACAAUAAGAAACACUCUCCCUUGAGAAGCCACAAGUAGUGUUGCAUCUACAAUCAUGUCAUCAGACAAUGUGAAGUAGUGCAUGGGACUGAUAUUGUCCUGAGAUAGAUCAUAUAUUUUGACAAACCUAUUGGUGACCACCAUUAGCUGAACUUGAGAACCUGGAACCCAGUCUAUCCGUCUAAUAUAGGCACCUUGCAGAGCAAGUUCAAUGGCAAGACGGUCAGUCACCUCACCACGAGGACUUAAAGUGAGCACCUGGCAAUCCUCAAAGCCUGCAACAGCAAGAUAGUUCUCUACCACUGGAUUGAAAACAAGAUGUACAAUUUCAAACCGAACAACAUUCUUGGAGAGGGGCUUAACAUUGGUCUUGUCGGCUGUUACAGGUGCAAUGGUGGCUUGUCCAAUCAGGUGGCCAACAUCAAAUAUAGCAACUUUGUCACCUUCCCCAACAGCAAGUCGACCUCGAAUACUGACACUGAGUAAAGAUUUGACAAGAGAACCACUGGACAGAUGGGAUUUAAGUUCCUUUGCAUUCGAAUAAUCUGCCUUUAUCUUCAGAUCCAAUGAUCCACUUUUAUAUGCCUUCUUCAAUUGCAGAAUAUCAACACCAUAAGACAGCACCUUAUCUUUGCCCAGAAUAAUUUUCUUAUCUUGUGAAAGGUUGGAGUCUCUUUUGCUAACUAUUGAAGGCAGCAGAGAAGAGCAAAGUUCAAGAACCUGACCCUCAACAUCAAGUUCUUCAAGUAAUACUGGCAUUCCAUCUUGAAGCUCUCUUGAAAUAGACAAGCUGACUGAGUUAUCUACAUCUGUGCAUCCAUCCUCAUCCAGAUCUGAAUCGCUAUCUGGAAGCUGAUCUCCAUCCUCAGUGAAAGGUAAAAAGGACUGAAAGUUAACAGAACCACGAACAGGUGCACUGUUACUUCCAGUGAAUUUUCGAGGCUUCAAGCAUUGGCAAUUGCUACCUCUGACACCCCCCGCUCCACAGUCACAAAAGAAUCGACUUGAACGAGAAUAAACAACACGAUGAUCACGAUGACAAACUUUGGCACACACAGAGCAACAUCCUUUCGACACAGUCAGAUCACAUGUAUAACAAAAAUACCAGUGUUGUUCCAUAAAAUUGCUGCCACUGGAUGUAAAUGUGCAUACCUUGGAAGCAAGUGCCCUUUCACUGUUACUGUCAUCUUCCUCAUCCUUAUCCAUGCUAGCAACCUCACCAUCAGAUGUUCCAUCAUCCUCAUCUUCAUCUACAGAAGUUGCAUCACAUUCAAGAGAAGCCGAUCCUGUUUCUUGAUUAGCUGAAAGAACCAAUGUUUCAGAAUUUUUCCUUGAACCUACUGGUCUAGAAGCCACAGGUCCAACCCCAAUACUACCGCUAGAAAAAGGCUUCCCAGGAGAUUUUUCCAAGGUACUCUUAUUAGACCUA
rnacentral:lncRNA from 1 species